CCUACGGGGGGCAGCAGUGGGGAAUAUUGCACAAUGGGGGAAACCCUGAUGCAGCGACGCCGCGUGAGUGAAGAAGUAUUUCGGUAUGUAAAGCUCUAUCAGCAGGGAAGAAAAUGACGGUACCUGACUAAGAAGCCCCGGCUAACUACGUGCCAGCAGCCGCGGUAAUACGUAGGGGGCAAGCGUUAUCCGGAUUUACUGGGUGUAAAGGGAGCGUAGACGGCCAGACAAGUCAGAAGUGAAAGCCCAUGGCUCAACCCUGGGACUGCUUUUGAAACUGCCGGGCUGGAGUGCAGGAGGGGUAAGCGGAAUUCCUGGUGUAGCGGUGAAAUGCGUAGAUAUUAGGAGGAACACAAGUGGCGAGGGCGGCUACUGGACUGUAACUGACGUUGAGGCUCGAAAGCGUGGGGAGCAAACAGGAUUAGAUACCCGAGUAGUC
rnacentral:rRNA from 1 species